rnacentral:rRNA from 1 species
CUCAGCAGCCAUAUCACUCUGCAACUCCCAGCUGGCAGCCCACUGAAGCUCAGCAGGUGUGAGCCUGGUCAGUACCUGGAUGGGAGACCUCCUGGGAAAAACUAAGGUUGCUGCUGGAA